rnacentral:rRNA from 1 species
UUCCGUAGGUGAACCUGCGGAGGGAUCAUGU